CCCUUAGAUGUCCUGGGCCGCACGCGCGCUACACUGAUGCAUGCAACGAGUUUAUAACCUUGGCCUGAAAGGUCUGGGUAAUCUUUUGAACGUGCAUCGUGAUAGGGAUAGAUUAUUGCAAUUAUUAAUCUUCAACGAGGAAUGCCUAGUAGGCGCAAGUCAUCAGCUUGCGUCGAUUACGUCCCUGCCCUUUGUACACACCGCCCGUCGCUCCUACCGAUUGGGUGUGCUGGUGAAAUGUUCGGAUCGGCCGUUUGUCGCGGUUUCCGCGUCAUGUGGCUGAGAAGUUCAUUAAACCCUCCCACCUAGAGGAAGGAGAAGUCGUAACA
rnacentral:rRNA from 1 species